rnacentral:rRNA from 1 species
CUACGUGCCAGCAGCCGCGGUAAUACGUAGGUGGCAAGCGUUGUCCGGAAUUAUUGGGCGUAAAGCGCGCGCAGGCGGAUUGGUCAGUCUGUCUUAAAAGUUCGGGGCUUAACCCCGUGAUGGGAUGGAAACUGCCAAUCUAGAGUAUCGGAGAGGAAAGUGGAAUUCCUAGUGUAGCGGUGAAAUGCGUAGAUAUUAGGAAGAACACCAGUGGCGAAGGCGACUUUCCGGACGAAAACUGACGCUGAGGCGCGAAAGCCAGGGGAGCGAACGGGAUUAGAUACCCCGGUAGUCCUGGCCGUAAACGAUGGGUACUAGGUGUAGGAGGUAUCGACCCCUUCUGUGCCGGAGUUAACGCAAUAAGUACCCCGCCUGGGGAGUACGACCGCAAGGUUGAAACUCAAAGGAAUUGACGGGGGCCCGCACAAGCGGUGGAGUAUGUGGUUUAAUUCGACGCAACGCGAAGAACCUUACCAGGUCUUGACAU